UACGAAGGGGGCUAGCGUUGUUCGGAAUUACUGGGCGUAAAGCGCGCGCAGGCGGUCCUUCAAGUCAGAGGUGAAAGCCCAGGGCUCAACCCUGGAACUGCCUUUGAAACUGGAGGACUUGAGUACGGGAGAGGUGGGUGGAAUUCCGAGUGUAGAGGUGAAAUUCGUAGAUAUUCGGAAGAACACCAGUGGCGAAGGCGGCUCACUGGCCCGUUACUGACGCUCAGGCGCGACAGCGUGGGGAGCAAACAGG
rnacentral:rRNA from 1 species